rnacentral:misc_RNA from 1 species
CAAGGUUAAAAAUGCUGUGAAAACGGCUAAAAAAACCAUGAUCAUUCACUUUGUGCACUCAUUGAAAACUAUGCUUUGGCAGACUCUUUCGUUGAAUUUCGAAGGCCGGGUGUUUUUAGGGCCCAAGGUCUGCCAGAGUUUUUAUUAUCAAAAUAGCCUUAUUGUUUGUCUGAAAUUUUUUAAAAUUAAAUAAAAUA